rnacentral:lncRNA from 1 species
CAACCGCAUCAGACGCCAUGUUGGAAGACCAAAGUCAGUCUGUUGGAAGCCCUUCAACUGUUCACAUGGCUGGCUGGGUUGUGCUACCACUGGAAACAUUGACCAUUAUAGUAAUUCAUUUUUCUAAGGACCCAGAAAACGGAGGCAGUGGGAGAACCUAUUCUACUCAGGUACAGAGAGACUUAAAAAACCCUGUCUGCAGAUGAAGAGGUCCCAAUGACUGUCCGAGAGAAUGAGGGUACAUCCUUCUAUACCAUGGAUUAUAAGUGUACCUAUCUGGGAGAGCUUUGUGCAAUCUGGUGCCUCUACUCUUUCAAACUGCACAUUACACCACAAUGGGGUUGAAGACCGUGCCACCACCAUUGCCUUGCACAUGGGUACUGCAGUCAUGCCCACUGAUGAAAUGCUUGUGAGAAAGCCAAGGACAUCAGGCAGGAGUGGCAUAAAAAACACUCUUUACCAAGGAAUCCCUGGGACCCUUCCUGACAUGACAGUGCUGUCUGCUGGACCAAGUUUGAGGAGCAUGAGACCACAGCCUGUCAUUGCCAAGGUGUUGCAUGGAUUGGAAGAAAUGACUCUCAAUUUGGUCCAGUGCUGUCAUAUUAGUGUCCCCUUACUGUCACCAGAGAUUCUAAUGCAUUCAGAUGCUCCUGCUUUCCCCCAACUCCCAGUAAAAUAAACAGUCAUUUAAACUUUGUCCCUACUUGCACUCAGUUUUACCACAUGGAGAGCUUAAAGGAGCCACCAUCAUUGUCAUCUACUAUUGAGAAUGGCACAGUCGAGCAGUCUGCCCAUCCACUAUGGAAGAAAUUAGGAAACCACGUGUGACUGCUACCCAGUUUAGUGAGGCAUGCCACUUGCGUGGGGUGUCAUCUCGCCAUGCCCUAGCCAUGAGAAUGCUUAAAAGUGAGCGGCAAACCGAAGCUAUGAGAAAGGGGUUUGAGCCAGAGGUUCUAUAGAACUACUCUGAAUUGUUUAAUGUCUCGGUCAAACCUUGUGAUUUCAUUGUGAACCCAGAUGCACCCUAUCUUGGGGCAUACCCUGACGGGAAAGUUUAUGACCCUUCUGCAGCGCCACCCUUCAGGCUAGCCGAGAUCAAGUGCCCUGAUGUUGAGUGUAACUGAUGCGAAGCACAUUAAGUUUGUCAAUGGCCCGGCCAAGCUCAAUCACAGCCACAAAUAUCACUGGCAAGUCCAGGGCCAACUGGCUGUAACCGGUUUAGAUUGAUGCGACUUUGUUACAAGCACUAGAAGUGAUAUUACAGUAGAGAGAGUUGAGAGAUGAUGCUUUGAUAGCAGAGAUGAGAGAAACUUGACUACUUCUACACCUACAUGGAUGUGUACUUUAAGAUGUAGUGUAGCAGGUGAGCCAAUCCCACUUGGCAGGCCACUGUAACAUUGUUGCCCAAGGCAAUGUACAUGUAAUGUAUUUAACUAAUCAAAAUUGUAUGUAGAGUAAAUUAUUUGAAUGAAUGAAUUGUGUGAUCUUGUUUGUCUAUCACAUGUGGCUCAGUUGGUUGAACAUGACGUUUGCAAUGCUAGGGUUGUGGGUUUGAUUCCCACAGGGGGACCAGUACGUCGUGAAAGAAUGAAAAUGUAUGCACUCACUACUGGAAGUCACUGGAUAAGAGCAUCUGCUAAAUGACUAAAAUGUAAAUGUAAGCAAUUAUUCAACUAAUUGAAUUGUUUGUUAUUUUAUGACCGGCUUAAUAUAACAGGUCACUGAAUGAAUAAUCAAAUGUAUUUAUUGAAUAAAAUCUUUAAAUUAAAAAAGGAUGUUCUCUAAUAGAUUAAUGAAUUAUGCAAACACUAAACCCCAAAACACCCAUCUUAUUCAUAAAAACGACAUAUUCAAUAUACAAAUUUUCCCAAAUUCAUGUCUUGUCUAAUAGAUCAAUUUAUAAUAAUCACAAAAAAACACAUGUACAUGUAGGUAUAAAGCUGUUAUUUAUAAUAACCAAAUUAAUUGAACUUAAAUCAAUCAUUGAUUUGUAUUGUGUGUUUGCACUGCCUUGCUUGAGCAUAUUUUCACACUUGCUUAUCACCCUUGAGAUCCAGAGGGCCCUGGUAGUUCAUUAAGCAGCAGUUCGUCCACAGUUGACAGAGCCUGCCAGAAUGAGUGGGAUAAUCAUGUCCCAGAUAUGGUACUUCUUCACCCUCCUAAUGACUCUCCACUAGCACUCUCAGAUGCGAAAUAGCUUGCGUUCACUCAGUGUCCUUCCAUGUUAGCAGUUUCUCUUUUGAUUGGGGGAAUGAUGAGUGUUGCCCCCACAUCUGACUGCAUCCUAUCUAUGAUGUACCCCUUGUCUGCUAUGCAUCCAUCACCAGGCUCAAACAGCUUGGGGAUUCCAGAGAGACACGUGAUCUCCUGAUCAGAGAUGGAUCCAGUGAUAAGCUUGGUGCAAUCCAAAUCAGGCCCUUAAUAAAGGUGGUGUGGUUUUUGUAAGAUGAAAAAGUCUCUGACUGUAAUGUCAGAGAGGAGAGGUUGGCACAUCUCAGCUCUGUGCAGUCCAUGAUAACUCUGACCUCUGGACAGAACACCUUGUACUUGUCAGGCAUGGUAUCCUGCACCUGCUUCCUGGACAUCCAAAUGGGCACAGAGCCCAAGACAAGAUAUAGAUCCAGGUUAUUUUAACGCAGCUCACUGUAGGGACACUCACACCAAAGAUGUCCGCCAAAACCUCCUUCAACCCAGCUGCUACUCGACGGCAGUAAAGCACUGUAGGGACACUCACACUAAAGAUGUCCGCCAACACCUCCUUCAGCCCAGCUGCUACUCGACAGCAGUAAAGAAAAAAACUUGCCAAUGAGUGGCAGCUUUCUGUUGGGGCUUGGUGAUGCGCUUCCCAUUCCAGCCUUCUGGGCCUAGAUUAACCUGGAGGCAGAGGGGGCAAUGGACUCCCAGAACACCAUGAAGACCUCUGAGUGGAACCGGGUAUAGAACCUGAAGUCCUCAUUGGGUGCACAGAAUCUUUGGAGCUGGAGAUGGUGAACAGAGAGCUGUUGGACUUGGGGCUUUAGCUCCUUGAUUCAAUCCAGUGCAGCAUCCAACAUACCUAUAGAAAAGAAAGGGGUAAUUUAUGUGGCAAAAUUGUGCUAUUAUUCAGUUUGAUUCUCAGUAUCAUGACACAGUAAACCAUCUCUUACUUAGUUUAGGUCUCAGGACAUAUGUAAUCAAUCAAGUAUGUUAUGGUAGUGCUAAGAAAUGUUGGUUCAAGGAACUAAUGGGAGGGUGGCUUAAGUUGGAGAGCAGAGUGGGAAAACAGAGAGCAUGCAAGCUGGCUAGCGAGUUAAUAGUUUUGUUAUUGUUAUUUCAAAAGCUGAUUAUAAGUAAUGCAAUACCUGAACUAUAGCAACGGUUUGCAAAACUAUAACUUGCAGGAUAAUUUCUACAAUCCACUUUGAGAGAGGCUUUCCCUGUAUCUACAAAGCACACAAACAGCUGAUCAGAGUGACGGAUCACCUGAUUCCGCUCCAUGUACUUGUUUAGGGAUCUCACAGGACACAGAGUGCGUACAUCAACAUGAGCCCCAGGGGGCAUGGAGGUGGAUAAGGCUGUUAGCACCAUUUCCCUGUUCACAUGACCUGGGGGCAGGACCUUUGGUAGGAAGGCGGGAUUAGGCCGCAGGGUAACGCUCGCCUUACCCGGCCCUAGCCGAUAACACUCAUUAUUAAUAGGCAAAGCAUGGAGCUUGCCAACCCUAUUGGUAGAGGCGAUGGCCACCAGAAAUGCUGUCUUAAGAGAGAGAUGUUUCAAGUCUUUUGGUUGGAAGGGAGGUCUGGAUAGUACUCCAAGAACCAGAUUCAAAUCACAUUUGGGAACUGAGGGGGCUCUUGAGGGGCGUAAUCGACGGGACUACCUUAAGAAACCUGGCCAUGAGCGGGUGGCUGCCAAGCGGCCCAUCCUACUCUUCAUCAUGACAUGCUGAUAUGGCUGCUACAUAUACCUUAAGUGUGGAUAAAGCCCUGCCAGCAUCAAACAAAGACCUCAAGAGCUGGAACAAAGAUCCUAUGCCGCAAGAUUCUGCCUCAACCCCCUGCUCCGCACACCACUGGCAGGACCCGUCACCUCGUGUCAUAGGUUGACGUGGUGGAGGGGGCCCUGUCACUCUGUAAGAUGUUAACAACAGAGGGCUCAAGAUCUAAAUUAGACAAUUUUCGUUCCCUCCGCCCUCCACAAUGUGCCCUCCGCCUGUGACAAUAGGCCCGGCCUCCGAGGUAGUUCCAAUGCUGUCCCCACUAGGAGUGACAGUAUUGUGCUGAACCAGUGGCAUC